rnacentral:rRNA from 1 species
GAGCAUGUGGUUUAAUUCGAUGCAACGUGAAAGAACCUUUANCUGGUCUUGACAUCCACGGAAGUUUUCAGAGAUGAGAAUGUGCCUUCGGGAACCGUGAGACAGGUGNUGCAUGGCUGUCGUCAGCUCGUGUUGUGAAAUGUUGGGUUAAGUCCCGCAACGAGCGCAACCCUUAUCCUUUGUUGCCAGCGGUCCGGCCGGGAACUCAAAGGAGACUGCCAGUGAUAAACUGGAGGAAGGUGGGGAUGACGUCAAGUCAUCAUGGCCCUUACGACCAGGGCUACACACGUGCUACAAUGGCGCAUACAAAGAGAAGCGACCUCGCGAGAGCAAGCGGACCUCAUAAAGUGCGUCGUAGUCCGGAUUGGAGUCUGCAACUCGACUCCAUGAAGUCGGAAUCGCUAGUAAUCGUGGAUCAGAAUGCCACGGUGAAUACGUUCCCGGGCCUUGUACACACCGCCCGUCACACCAUGGGAGUGGGUUGCAAAAGAAGUAGGUAGCUUAACCUUCGGGAGGGCGCUUACCACUUUGUGAUUCAUGACUGGGGUG